rnacentral:rRNA from 1 species
CCUACGGGGGGCUGCAGUGGGGAAUAUUGGGCAAUGGGCGCAAGCCUGACCCAGCAACGCCGCGUGAGGGAAGAAGGUUUUCGGAUUGUAAACCUCUGUCGCAGAUGACGAAACAAAUGACGGUAAUCUGUGAGGAAGCCCCGGCUAACUACGUGCCAGCAGCCGCGGUAAUACGUAGGGGGCGAGCGUUGUCCGGAAUUACUGGGCGUAAAGGGAGCGUAGGCGGUCGAUUAAGUUGGAUGUGAAAUACCCGGGCUUAACUUGGGGGGUGCAUCCAAUACUGGUUGACUAGAGUACAGGAGAGGAAAGCGGAAUUCCUAGUGUAGCGGUGAAAUGCAUAGAUAUUAGGAGGAACAUCGGUGGCGAAGGCGGCUUUCUGGACUGACACUGACGCUGAGGCUCGAAAGCGUGGGGAGCAAACAGGAUUAGAUACCCCGGUAGUC